rnacentral:sRNA from 1 species
CUUGGGGCCUGAUGGGCUUUCCCCCGCCAGAGCGCGAUCCCUAAAUUAUUCCAAAAAAGAAAUUGCGCUAAUAGACGUGCACAAACAGGACGAACGAAAUCCAUCCGCAUAAAGAUGCGAGCUGUUGUGUCGAUGACGUCAAUGAUGCUGGAGGUGAUCACCAUCCACCGCCAACUCUGCAGUUGAUUUCGGAGUGCAGUUUAUCUCCGUUCGCUUGGGAUCUGUGGAUGCACGGAAGCUGAAAUCAGGAGCCCAGCCAGCGAGGGAUGACGACGAUAUGAGGAGGCUUAGCUCCGUUGGUCAGACCGUCUUGAUCCUCAUCUAUGCCUUCCUGUUUCCUACUGUCUAGUUAAUAAUCGAUGAUAAGUUGGGCUUGGCGGUGAACAAAACGAUGAUGUGCCGCUCAAUUAGUUGGCGACCCAAGAAGGUUAUGGUGAACGUCACAACGAGCGAGGAAAGUUACUUAGUAUGAUAAUGAAUGUCGAUGAAUUGUUUUGUUAUCAGUG